CAAAUAUCAAAUUUAAGUGGUAGUACUUUUUGCUAAUGGAAGUGCUCGCCAAAGGUGAAAAUAAAGAAGGUAUGCGUUUCCAGAGCCUUGUGCCUGGAACAAAGGCACAUGUCUAGGCGCAUAAGGCGCUAGGGUUGGAGCCUGAUGAGCCUUGGGCCUGAAAUGCGCCUGACGUGCGCCUUUAAUAACUAUAAGGGCGUAAUUUCAAACAUAUUCUCUACGAUUCAGUUAAAAUCAUUUUUUCUCCUUUUUUUGAACACAAACAUUUAUAAAAUGAUAGUAUUACUUAGAUUCAAAUCCUUGGAUCUAAAAUUCCCUGAAUUGCUGUGUUGGGUCAUUAUGCUGCAGUCUUUCCGGGAUAUUUCAAAACUUAAAGUCUAGUAAAAUAUCUAGCUCCAAUGAUUUUCUGCAUAUUUUGCAAUUAAAAGUAAAGCAGAAAAGGCUUUAAGUGUCAAAAAGAUAAGAAACAUGCUACAUAUUUAUAGCAUGUUCAUCAAAUUAGAGGCACAUCCCAUAUAAAAUACCAAUCGUGCAUGAUUAGAUCUAGCCUGAAAGCAUUCAUCCAUAGGCAACCUUAAAAAUAAUACAGACCAAAAAUCAACACUCAAUAUUGAAUUUUGCAAACAUUUAUAAACCAAUUC
rnacentral:misc_RNA from 1 species